rnacentral:rRNA from 1 species
UACGUAGGGCGCAAGCGUUAUCCGGAAUUAUUGGGCGUAAAGAGCUCGUAGGCGGUUUGUCGCGUCUGCCGUGAAAGUCCGGGGCUCAACUCCGGAUCUGCGGUGGGUACGGGCAGACUAGAGUGAUGUAGGGGAGACUGGAAUUCCUGGUGUAGCGGUGAAAUGCGCAGAUAUCAGGAGGAACACCGAUGGCGAAGGCAGGUCUCCUGGGCAUUAACUGACGCUGAGGAGCGAAAGCAUGGGGAGCGAA